UGCUUCCACAAAAAUCAAAUUAUUGUACAAGAUGGCAAAUGGCAUAGAUUCACGAAACUUAAAUUCCUUAAAUAGAUUUUUAAGGCAAAUUUGCAAAAUUUACAGCCCUUGAAAAUUUGUGUUAUAUGGUGUUAGCAGGUGGUGAUUCCCCUCCAUUAUUGUGAGUAGGUUAACUCCAGUAUCAGAUGCUAAUCAAUCAGUGACAGUGAUACAGUUGCAUUUUUUUAUUAGAAGAAUCACAACCAGAACCAACUGACCUCAUCGCAGGUGUAUUAAAGUUUAUUAACCUUAAUAUAUUAACCAAUUAACCCUACAGCUAACCAUUAUUAAAGUUCAAUAGCCUAAUCUUAUUUGAAAGCGGGUGUAGUCACAAUGAAGUAAAAUGGUGGCUAUUAGCAAGUCUGCAGCUUAUUUGCAGCAAACGGUCAGCAGGAUAACACUAAACUGUUAUCCAAAGACUUUUCUAGCAGCAGUUCCUGUGUAUUUGAUCCCAUUAAGAGUAUGACAUGUAUGUGUCAUGUUGACCUGAAGAGUUCUUUUUUAUCAUCUUUCAAAUCAGAUUUAUUUGAGUCUCCUCAUGAUUUUGCUCUUUUUUGUCUCCAGCUUACUCAAUCAUUAUAUUAGAAGUGAUUAACAUUAAUUAUAAUUGAUGAAGAGAAGAGGCAAAAAGUCUCAACCAACAAGCAGAUGUCAAUACAGUUGACAGUCAAAUUUCAUAAUCUCCAACACUUAAUCAAUGUUACCAGAGGUGGGCACUAAACAGAAACAUUCAUCAGUAGAGAUACUACAUAAAGAGAAAAUUGCAGUCUAGAUGAGGCUCUUGAAGAAGACAUCUUUCUCUACUAUCUCUGUAUAACACCUGAUACAGAGUAGAAACAGACUCCGUAUACUAAAACCACGUGCUCGCCUGUGGUAAAAUGGCCGCCAGUAUCAAAGCGCUGAGGACUUCCCCCCAGUUUAUCUCGCUAGUCAAUACUGCUAGGAUACACACAGGGGGACUGGCUGUGGUGGGAGGAAACUGGAGAGAAAAAUGGCCGUCCUUCUCCAAUGACUAGCAAGAGACAGACUUAAGAGAAAACUAAGAUUAAACUUUUUAAAUAAACGUGUAGAGACACUGCUGAAGGAAGUUGAUCUGCCAAAGCUUGAGUCAAAUACAAAGAGAAGAGUACAACCAGGAGGAGGAGAGAGAACUUAUAUGAGAAGGAAGUGAACAAUAAGCUAACUAUACAUUGAUAAUAAUUGUUAUGUAAAUGUAGCUACAUUAGUAUGAAAUGAACAUGGAACAUAAUUCAUAAGUUCAGUAUAAUAAUAAUUUAUUACAUGAAUGUCUAUUAACUUAAGUUUCAUCCUACAUUUUGUUGAUGCUUCAGAUUAAAAAAUUCAGUUGUUAUACUAAUGACUCAUAUUGUA